rnacentral:rRNA from 1 species
AUUGAACGCUGGCGGCAGGCCUAACACAUGCAAGUCGAGCGAGCGGCGGACGGGGGAGUAAUGUAUGGGGACUGCCCGAUAAAGGGGGAUAACUACGGGAAACGGUAGCUAAUAACGCAUACUAUCGGAUAACCCAUAUGGGAUUAGCUAGUUGGGGAGGUAAUGGCUCACCUAGAAGACGAUCCCUAGCUGGUCUGAGAGGAGGAUCAGCCACACUGGGACUGAGACACGGCCCAGGCGCCUACGGAGGCAGCAUUGGGGAAUAUUGCACAAUGGGCGCAAGCCUGAUGCAGCCAUGCCGCGUGUAUGAAGAAGGCCUUCGGGUUGUAAAGUACUUUCAGUCGGGAGGCGUUACCGACAGAAGAAGCACCGGCUAACUCCGUGCCAGCAGCCGCGGUAAUUC